AACGAACGCUGGCGGCGUGGAUUAGGCAUGCAAGUCGAACGCGAAAGAGGGAGCAAUCCCUCGAGUAGAGUGGCGAACGGGUGAGUAACGCGUGAAGAACCUGCCUUCAACAGGGGGAUAACACUCCCAACGGGGUGCUAAUACCGCAUGAGACCACGGGAUCGCAUGGUCCUGAGGUCAAAGGUGGCCUCUAUUUAUAAGCUACCGGUUGAAGAUGGCUUCGCGUCCCAUUAGCUAGUUGGCGGUGUAAAAGACCACCAAGGCGACGAUGGGUAGCUGGUCUGAGGGGAUGGUCAGCCACACUGGGACUGAGAUACGGCCCAGACUCCUACGGGAGGCAGCAGUCGAGAGGCUUUGGCAAUGGGGAAACCCUGACCAAGCGACGCCGCGUGGAGGAUGAAGGCCCUUGGGUUGUAAACUCCUUUUGCUAGGGAAGAAAUGCGAUCAGGUGAAUAAUCUGGUCGUUUGACGGUACCUGGCGAAUAAGCUCCGGCUAACUCCGUGCCA
rnacentral:rRNA from 1 species